CUUCCCCAUUUAGAAAAGAGGAACCUUCUUGGUCUAGGGUAGAGUGGAGCAGCAGAGCUGCCUUCUUCCUCAGCUGCGGCUUCAUCUUCCAUGCUCCUUCCAGGCCACCCCAUCCUGUUUCGUCUCUAUGAUUUCUGCAAUAACAUGCAGAAGAGCUGGAUCAUCUUCACACUGACACAAGGAAAUCUCAGUUGUGCCACGGCCUGCUUUUUUCCAGCAGGAAUUCUUAAGGGCCUGGGGGCCUGGGGCAGCAGUGAAGGCUGGAGGAGGCUCAUGGAGCUGUACAGGUUCGCAGGGGCUGCUGUGGUUUAGGGAAGAAGGAGAGGAUGUUGCUUAAUGUCACCUGCCUUGUGUGCUAACCUCAGUGUUGCUAUGGUUUCAGCCUCCCACUCCACUUGGAGAGAGAGGCCAGGAGCCCACCUGCCUCUGCAGCCCACCUGCCUCUGCAGCCCAGGGUGGGAAUGUAACCGUUGCUGCUGUACUCACAUCUGACCUUCCUUCAGCUGAUCUUCGCCCCUUUUACCAGAUCUCCUCUUUCACUUUACAAUUUCAGAAGCCUCAGAUUACAAUCCUCUCCAUUCCCUCAAACAGUUGCAUCUGGCAAUAGUGACCAUGGCUGCCCCAUUGGAAGGGACUGUUAACAGAAAAGGGCAUGAGGCCUUAGGAGGAGGGGAGCUACGUCUUCAUAACACUAAC
rnacentral:lncRNA from 1 species